rnacentral:rRNA from 1 species
GAUGAACGCUGGCGGCGUGCUUAACACAUGCAAGUCGAACGAGAAGGGGAGACGGUUACCGUGGGGCGGAAGACUUUACUUCGAGGGGCGGCCGGGGUAGUAACGCCUGGGUAUCCUGCCACAUACAGGGGGAUAAGAGUUGUAAACGACUGGUAAUACUGCAUCAGACCACAGCAUCGCAUGGUUCGGGGGUAAAAGCUCCGGUGGCAUGAGAUGGACCCGCGGUCGGUUAGCCAGUUGGCGGGGUAACGGCCCACCAAAGCGACGAUCGAUAGCCGAUAUGAGAGGAUGACCGGCCACAUUGGGGCUGAGACACGGCCCAAACUCGUACGGAAGGGAGCAGAGGGGAAUAGAGCAGACGGGGGGAAGCCCUGAUGCAGCGACGCCGCGUGAGUGAGGAAGUAUGUCGGUAUGUAAAGCUCUAUCAGCAGGGAAGAGAAUGACGGUAACUGAGUAAGAAGCCCCGGCUAACUACGUG